CAGCCGCCGCGGUAAUACGAAGGGGGCUAGCGUUGCUCGGAAUGACUGGGCGUAAAGGGCGCGUAGGCGGUUUAUCUAGUUAGGUGUGAAAUUCCUGGGCUCAACCUGGGGGCUGCAUCUAAUACUGGUGGACUUGAGUUCGGAAGAGGGUCGUGGAAUUCCCAGUGUAGAGGUGAAAUUCGUAGAUAUUGGGAAGAACACCGGUGGCGAAGGCGGCGACCUGGUCCGAUACUGACGCUGAGGCGCGAAAGCGUGGGGAGCAAACAGGAUUAGAUACCCGUGUAGUCCCUGUCUCUUAUAA
rnacentral:rRNA from 1 species